UACGGAGGGUGCGAGCGUUGUCCGGAAUCACUGGGCGUAAAGGGCGCGUAGGUGGCGCGGGCAGUCAACGGUGAAAGUUCGGGGCUCAACCCUGAAUCGGCCGUCGAUACUCCCGUGCUUGAGCACUGUAGAGGCAGAUGGAAUUCCGGGUGUAGCGGUGGAAUGCGUAGAGAUCCGGAAGAACACCGGUGGCGAAGGCGGUCUGCUGGGCCGACACUGACACUGAGAGACGAAAGCUAGGGGAGCGAAUGGG
rnacentral:rRNA from 1 species